GCUUCGAACAAUGAUUGAAGUAUUAGCACCAUUAUUAGCAAGAUCAAGUGCAAUUUCCAUGCCUGAAUUUCCACAACCAACAACUAGGACAUUUUUACCCUUAUACUUCUCACCAUUUUUGUAUUGAGUAGAAUGAAAAGCAUCUCCAGUGAAACUUGCCAAUCCAGGGACAUCAGGGGUAAAAGGGUAACUAGCUUCACCAGUAGCUACAACAAGAAAUUUACAAAAAUACUCUUCCAUUUCAUCAGAAUUACCAUUUCUAACCUUAACAUUCCAUUUUUUAGUAAAUUCAUCAAAUUUAGCAAAUUCAACAUUUCUUUUGUAAAAAGGUGUGAUAUUAAAAUGAGUAACAUAGUCAUCCAAGUAUUGAAUGAAUAGUUUUUUUGGUAUAUAAGUAGGUGAAGAAGAAGGAAAAGGAAUAUAAGGAAGUUGACAAAAUUGUUUAGCUAAAUGAAGAUGAACUCUAUCAUAAGAAUAUUUUUUCCACAUAGGAGAGUAACAAUCUUCUUUUCAAGGAUGAGAUUUGAUAUACAUAAUUUAUUUAGACAUGCAGAUGUAGCAAGACCACCAGGGCCACCACCAACAAUGAUAACCAUAGGUUCUUCAUGGUUAUCAAAUGUUGCCAUGACUAAAAUUGAGAAGAAAAUUUGUUGGUGUUGAGAAAAAAAAGAGAGGAGGGAUAUGUGUAUAUAUAUAUAUACUAGAUGACAACUUUGGAGUCAUUAGAAUUUAUUUAAUUUUUUGACUAUUUGAGGCUUCAUUUAUGGUGACAUUAAUUUUUCUUCUCCUUUUUUUAAUAUUUUGGUUUGAUUUGGUAGAUUGUGUUACACAAAUUAUUAAGUCAACACUUAUAAAUUUACAUUGCUAAAAUUACAUUUUGUCAACAAUUUAUAAGUGUUGACUUAAUAAUUUGUGCAACACAAUCUACCAAAUCAAACCAAAAUAUUUAAAAAGGGAGAAGAAAAAUUAAUAAGUCACCAUAAAUGAAGCCCCAAAUAGUCAAAAAAAAUAAAAAAUUCUUCUGAAAAAACUGAAUAAAUGACGAUAUAAAGAUUAUAUAUUACUAGUACUAACAUGACUUUCUAGUUUUCGAUAUAUAACAUUAGAUUCCUAUCAAUUCUUAACAAAUUAAUAAAUAAAUUAAAAAAUAAAAAUGAAAAAUGUUUUCUUUUUUAAAUUCUAGCGUAUUUUCCUUUAAUUAACUAGAGUAAUAUUUUUCUGCAUAAAUAUAAUAUUUUGCUAGCGUUUGAUCAUAGAUUUUCAAAUAUUUUUGGCAAAUAUUAUUUGGGUGAAAAUUUGGGCGAAAUUUCACCAUGUGUUUGACCAUAGUAUUUGGGAAACAUAUUUCACUUUUUUUGAAAAAUAUGAUUUAUACCCAUAAGUUUUAAAAACUAUCAAAACUAACUAUAAGUUUGUAUUACAAGUCAAUUGGAUCUUCGUUGCAACAAAUAACAAGUAGUGUCCAUGACAAUGGAGGAAUGUGGUAGUUUGGAGUGAGUGCAACAAGCAUUAUUCCAUACAACGUAAAGUAGACAAAGCACAUAACAUUGUUACCCUGAGCCGAUUGUUCAUCAUUUUAUUUUUCAUCAACAACCAUAUCGUCACUUUCAUAUUCACUGAAUAUUUCAUCACUACUUUGGUGUUCAUGUAAAAAAAAUUAUGUAAUAGAGCACAAAUAACUACUAUAGAGAGUGUUUUUGUAAAAGAUAAAAAUUUGGUGUAUAAUUUAAAUUUUUAAAAGAUUCCAAAUAAUGAGAUUUGGCCCAAAUACUAGUUUUUUCUAGUAUUUGAGAAUUUGGGUUAUUUGCCAAAUAAUGACAAAUUGUAUGGACAAACACUAUUUGUCAAAUCUUUCCCCAAAUUUUACUUUGAAAAUCUAUGGCCAAACGGGUCUAAUUGUAACUUGCAUGAUAUAUUGAUUCCCCAAUUUUCUCCUAGCCAGUUGGUUAAAAAGAUCACUCCUUCCUAAAAUAUCUCUCUCCAAUAUUUUCUCUUCCUAGUCUUCUUCCAUAAUUCAAGAUAAAAAUAAUUGUUCCUAAUCUUUUUCCCAAAAAUAUAUUUCUUUAAUAUUCACACAAUUUUCUCCUUUAAAUAUUUUCAUACAAUUUUUUUCUUAGUUUUUUAAACACAAUUUUUUCUUCUUUUUCCUAUUUGUAUGCUUUCAUCCCUGAUUUUUUAGUUUUUUUUUUUUAUAAUUUAAAUCUUGAAAAAUAACAAAAUUUAUUAUUAUUUUUUCAGUACGAAAGAUGGUAUCAUUCAUUCAAUACGAAAAUCGAUAACAUGAAUUUUAAAUUCAAAUUGGUAUCAUAGUGUAUGAAUUAGUAUACAAAUUGAUAUCAGUUAAAUAAAUAUCACAAUUUUAUUUUUAUUUAUUUUUAAUUAAAGAGGGCUCAACGACCCAUUUUUUCAUUAAUGUAAAGCAGAUUAUUACAGUGCCCAAAAUCCAAAAGAAAAAAACUUAAUAUAAAACUAAAGAAAAGGAAAGAAAUAAGAAAAGACACAACAAGAAAAUGUCUGGUAAUGUGAAAAUCCAUCAGAUCUGUGCUCUCCUGGUUGGUUUCUUCCAACCUCAGCACAUCCAAAUGGAACCCCAUUGGAGGUGUGAGCUCUCAUAAUUCUUCAAGAUUAUUACUUCUGGUAUUUGAGGUACAGCAAAGCACUACAAUAUCAUGUCAGCCCCCAAUUCUCAGAGAUAUGAUUUAUAGCCAAGUUAGACCAGGUAUUGUAUCCAACUUUUCGUUCCAUAUGUAUCAUCCUAUCUAUUUCUCAAACUUAUGUAGCUUAUGUAAAUAUGCCAUGAGACCCUUAAUUCCGACCAUAAGUUGAGAAAAUUGUGUUUUGCUACUAUCAAUCAUGAUUUCUUUCCCUUUCUAGAUCCCGAUGGGUUGAGUCUCAAGAGACUAAUACCACCAUCUGAGAUAAAAGAUUGGGUGAGAAAGUCACAACUUUUAGUAGCUGAAAAUCAUGUGAACUUUUGCAGAUUACAAAGAAAAAUUGGAGUCAUCAGCUUACCUUCCAUCAAAACUAAUGUCCUGAUUUGGUAUUAGGCGAACACCUCAAUGCUCUCACCAGAUGCAAAUACUCAAACCAUUACGAAAUUACUUCAGACAAUAGUUAACGAAUUUAGAUACUAACAACCAAUUCCCUUUUAUUUCUACCAGAACUUGUAAUCUUCAUAAAUAUGUUAUCAGUGUAUUGAUUUAAUCUACUAGUCUUCUUCUAAUGUGAGGAGUGCCACUCUUGUCCAAGUUUAGAAUUCUCUGCCCUUCCAUAGGAAUGUCUUGGAAAUGGCUAAAUUGAUAAUUACCUGCAAGAUCAAAAACUAGGUUAGCAAAAUAAUCAUCUAGAGUAUUUCCUUCUCGAAAGAUAUGUUGUACUCUCGCUGAUAAUGAUCUCCUCAAAUAGCUUAUGGAAUUGACCUCUAGUGUCACACUCUAAGGGACAUCCCACCUCCCUUCCAAGAUCUGUACCAUGGCCAUAGAAUCAGUUUCAAUAAUGACAUGUGAUAAAUGAUGCUCCUUACAAAAAAACAAUCCUUCUCUAAUAGCUCUAGCUUCAGCUACCAAAUUAGAGGUAUCUUGUAUCUUGAAUCCUUUAGCCACCAUCAAUGAGCCAGAGUAAUCUCUUAUUCAAAAGGCCGCAGAGCUAGGUCCUGGAUUACCCCUAGAUGCACCAUCUGUAUUGCAUUUCACCCAAUUAGUAGGGAGAGGGAUCCAUCUCACAAUGUUAAUGCUAUAGUUAUUUCUAUGCCCCUGUAAAUUAGUAAUGAUAUCCGGCCAACUGUUCCUUCCUAUAUCUCUUUCGAACCUUAUUUUAAUCACCUUCAGAAUAUUGUCAUUAAUCUCCCAAAUGACCUUUCUUUCUGAGAAUGAGCCACCAUGUAAAAUAGUGUUCCUUCUCCUCCACAAACACCACAAAAUGACAAUGGGUGAUUAUCUUCUAAAUUGGAUAUCAUAAUCCAUAAAUAUUAAUUUGUACAAUAAUUUUAUAAAUAAUUAAUAAAAUAUAAAAUUUACUAAGCAUCAAUUUUUAUACUAAUUUUUAUAGUCAUUAUACACAUUACAUAUAAAACAUGUUUAUAUAUAACUGAUAUAAAAAGAUUAAGUAAACCAAUUUGUAUAUUUAUUCCAUACAUAUUAUUUAUAUAUAUCCAUUCUAUAUACAUAUAUAGUUUCCGAUUAUAUAUUGUUUACGCUCCAAACGUGAACAUACCAUAUUAUAUAUCAAUUCCAUAUAAUGCAUAAUUAAAAAAAUCUCUGAUACCUAUUUUAAGACCAAAUGAAUAUGUUAAGAACUCAACAUAAAUAUCAAUUAGUGUAUUUAACGGGUAUAUAAAUUGGUUAACAAUGGUAGAUUAAGCUAAAACAUGAAAAUCAAAUUUAAUACAGUUUUCAUAUAUUAAUAAAAUUUUACUAACAUACAAAUUUGUUGGGCAUCAUUUUUCAUACAUAAUUAGAUACAAUUGGUGGCCUUCAUCUUCACUGAUGCAGAUCUCUCUCAAGUCUCCAACAAGGGUUCAUGAAAAAAUCAAGAAUGACUUGAAGAAGGAAAAAAAUAUUGAAAUAUAGUUAAAGAAUCACUAGUUGAAACUAACUCACAAUUAGUAUUGCUACAAUGGAGAGAAGAUUCACAUGAAUUUCAUCAUGGUUGUGAAUUUUUUUUAAAAAAAAUUAAGGAGAGAUGUUUGAAAUUUCAAGUACUAUUACGAAUUAUUACCUUUUAUGGAGGCAUGUAACAUUAUAAUUCCUAAAUUGUAGUUAGAUAAUUACCUUGGUAACUGCUAUAAAAAAAUGCUUCUUAUUUUCUCUUUCCAAUAUUAAAUAUGAAAAUAAAAUUUAAAUUAAAUAAAUUAAUUUGAAUCUGUUAUCACUAGUAAUUAAGUUGUUGUAUUAGUAAUUCCUAAUUAAUAGAUUUAUAUGAUGUAAUAUAAGAUCUUAAAUACAUAUAAGGAGUAAAUAUGACAAGUCUAAAAACAACCACCUCCCCCAUCCCCACUCUCACCCUCAAUUUACUUUUAACUCUCAAAUUUAUAAAAUUAUAUUUUAGCACUAAUUCUUAGCUAUAAUAAGACAUAUUCCUUCAUUUUUCCUCACCAUUCUAACUAUUAACUAAGCUUGUGCACAAAUCGGUCCAACUCGAAUUGUCGGACAAAAUUUGGAGCGAUUUGGAUAAUAUAAUUUAGUUAUACAAUUCGAAUUUGAUUUACAAAUUCAAGUAUAAAAUAUUAUGAUUUUUUUUAUUGCAUCCGAUCCAAUCAAGAAAUUGAACUGUGUAAACGUGGCUAAAAGUUAUUAAUACCAAAACAUGUGGUUGCAUAUUUGUGAAAAAACUCCGAUAGGUAAUUGAAGUAUUUAUUUAUCAAACAUAUAGGAAUAUUUAUUUUGAGAAGGUUAUUUUUUAGCGUGAAGAAAUAUACAAAGCGUGUCUUAAUAAAAUAUGUUACUAUUAUGCUCGCAAGCUAGUAGUAGCACAAUCUAUUUAUUUAUUUGGAACCCUCGGGGUAAUCGAUAACCUUUGCCACAAUCUCUAUCCGAACAACCACUCAACUUUGUUCUUGCAUACGGACGAGUAGCAUAAAUUAUGAAGCUCUUGUUUUGCCAUUUAUAUGCUAUAAUUAAUAAUGUAUUGGGCAUGUGCAUUUCUAACCGUACAUGCAGGAGUAGUAGGUAUCAGAUGAAUGAAUAGGGAUGAAUGUCAAAAAUUGUUAAGACAAAUAAGAAUUUGAAACAUGUAUCAAUCAUUAUUUUUAUUUCCAAAUAAAUCUAAAUUAUUUAAAAUGUAUGUAAUUAUUAAUUUUUUACAUUCUAUUUUGUGGUGACAAUUUGAGAUUACUAUACGAUGAUAAUUUGAAAAAAUAUUAUUUUAACCUUGAUUGUUUCUUAAAACAUUAUGCAAGUAUUUAUGAAUGGUAGAGAUGUGUAAAAGAUGGCUACAACACAACAAUUACAAACAAAUCCAAUCUAAAAACAUGGAAGAAUUUUAUUAUAAAAAGUCCAAACUCCCAUUGAAGUUUGAUUUAUAUAUAAAGAUGUCCUUGUUCUUUACGUAUUAAAAAUAAAACUUCUUUCUAUUUUGACACAAAGAGUAUAAAGAACCACUAGAAAAUUCAGUAAAGUAUGUUAUUCAAUUCUUGAAAUUAAAAAGAAUGACAAGUUUAAUCAAUCUUGGUCAUAAUCUGAUUAAGUUAAAUGAGGUUUGAACUGUAAAAAUUCUCACAUUCUUUUAAUUCUAAUCAUUCUCCAUUUUCUCUAGCUAUGCCUCUUUCUCCUUCUUCUUUUUUGUUUCUGAAUGAUUUUUUCUCCAUUUUUUCUGUUACUCCAUUGUUAUUGUUUUUCUUCUACCUUACCCUUGCUCUUUUUUCUUCCUCCUCCUCUUUCUCCUUUUAUUUUCUUGUGUGUUCUUGUUGUUCUUCAUCAAUUUAGAAAAAAAACCAUCUAAUUUAUUUGUAUAGUACUGGAUAUUACCUAGAACUAAUAUUCGAUCAUUUGAUAAGCUAAUAAUGUUGUGUUAUAACAAUUGUUUAUAUUGUGAAGUUGCAUUUUCAAGAAAUUUCAAUAACAGUUAUCCAUGUUGCAAUGAGAAAGUUAUUAUAUAAAAACUUUUAAGUUUUUCAUAACAACUAACAAAGAAGUUACAACAAUUAUUGCAAAUGCUACAUAUUAUAUGAAUAGCUUUUAAACAUGUAAAGAAAUUUGUUGCAAUAGUUGAUGUAAUUAAUGCAAUUUUCAAAUGAACAAUUGAAUCUAUUAGAACAACUAAUAAACUUCUUGUGUAUAUAGCAAUAAUUGUUGUACUUGGCAAGCAUUUUCAAACAAGUAAACUACCAAAUUGUACAAUUUCAAGUUCUCUUAUACUUUAAUUUUAUUUACGGGACUAAACCUGAAUGCAAAAUAAAGAUAAAUAAUAAAUUUUAUUUUAGUGCUUCUAAUAUAAAAAAAAAAUAUAACUUACAUAAAUCCCAUAGUUUUAAUAUGAAAUUACAAUAUAUCCCUCAUUAGUUUGUAAUUACAUUAAUCCCUUAAAAAGUAAUACAAAACGGGUACAUAAUAUGUAGCUCGGAUACAUUAUAACAUAAACUGGAUACAUAAUAUGUAGCUCGGAUAUAUUAAAAACUAGCUCGGAUACAUAAUAUGUAGCUCGGAUACAUUAAAUACUGGCUCGGAUACAUUAAUAUGAUACAUUAAAGAAAUAAGGGAUUUUAGAGAUUUUUAAAAAUAGAAGGGGAUAUUGGAAAUAAGGAAAAUAUAAAUGUGUACUUCAGUAAUUUUUCCAAAAAAAAAUGUGUUGAUAAAAAUUGUAUUAGUUCAAUUAGUUGAAACAUACCUAUUGUAUAAUGAUGAUAUCGUAGAUUCGAGCCUUAUUAUAUGUUAAUACUUUUUUUUUAAUUUCAAAAGGAAUGACCUAGUUUGACUUGACACGGAGUUUAAGCAAAUAAAAAAGACUUUUUAAUUUUGUGGUCCUAAAUUAAAGUUAAGUCAAAUGUACCAAAAUAUCUUUAAUCUUGUGAACUUAAACUUGACACGAUAAAUUAAUGGUUUACCAAAAAUAGAAAUGAGUCAUUAUUUUUUAAACAAACUGACAAGAAAAAUACAUUAUUCUUUUUGAAACAGGCUAACAAGGAAAGAAAAGUAUAUUAUUAUUUUUUGAAACAGAGUAAUAAUUAAUAAGAAUUUUAGUACAAUUACAACAGAUGUAAGGCUACAAAUUGUAACUGAAACUACUACUUGUACUAUAGUUACUACGAACACAAAGGGUUUCUAACACUUUGUUUGGAUGGUUGUUACGUAUUGUUUUAUAAUGUAUUAUAUUAUAUUAUAUUAUAUUUGUUGUAUUGUAUUGUACUGUAUUGUUUUAAUGAAUACAAUGUUUAGAUAGAUUGCAACGUUCUCUGUCAUUACAUAAUGUUACACAUCCAUAAUUUGAAUGAUAAGCCUACAAAAAAAGUAGGGUACGGGAUCAGUGGCGGAGCCAGGAUUUUCAGUAAGGGGGUUCAAAAUCUAAAAAUAUAGACACACGAAGUAGCCGAAGGGGGGUCGACAUCUACUAUAUAUACCUAAAAAAUUAUUUUUAACCAUAUAUAAAUCAUAUAAUUUUUCCGCCGAAGGGGGGUCGGAUGACCCCCCUCAUUGUAAGGUGGCUCAGCCACUGUACGGGAUAUAGCUACUAUGAAAAGGUAGGAUAAAAUAUGAAAUAUGAUUCUUAAAUAAUAAAUAAAGACAAAAUGAGAAGAAAAUAUUAAGGUAACGACACGAUAAAACCAAAUUGAUCGUUACAUAAAAAUUAAAAUAUGUCUUUUUAUCGUUACCUAACGAUGAAUUUAAACAAUACGAUAUAAGAACAAAGAACAAAUCUAACUGUUUUUUCUUUUGGCUUAUAUAUUUUGACAUAUAUAACAACUUUUUUUAUUUUGGUUUUAAGACCAAAUGAGCUUGUGGUCAUUAAUUGCCUGCGUAGAUGGUUAAGCUUGAAGAAGUCAACAAAAUUGAGAGAGUUGUACUUUCACCUCACCUAGGUAUUAAGUACGAACUGUAUACUUUUCAAUCAUUUUUACUCACUAGGUAAACCCCACUUGUAAUAGCCUGCUGCAAACUACAUCGAAGAUAUAAAUCGUACUAAGCAAUUACUAUGCAGUAGUUUUUCAAUGUUAAUAUAUACAAUAUUUAAAUAAUUACAUAUUUAUUGUUCAUAUUAAUUGAAAUUUUUAGUUUGUACUCAAUCUUUUACUAAUCAUUAUGUAAUAUUUUUAAAAUUUUUAUUAUUUGUUAAAAUACAACUGAUGUAAUUAUAAUUAAAAGUUGUAGGUAAUUAUAUUUAUAGCUAAUUUCUACUUCUUAAUUUGUUUAAUGCAUUUCAAUUUGAAUCAAUCACGUUUUAAUAUUGACUUUCUAAGAUUGUUAUCAAUUUUUUCAGGUGUCUUUUUAGACAUUUCAAGCUCAAACCAAUUAUAUUAUCGAAUAAUUAAAUUUACAAAAACAUUGACUAACUUUGAAUGUCUUAUAAAGCGUAACAAUCACUAUAAUAUUGAUGAGUUAGACCUAUUUUUAUAAUUUAAGAUAAUACGGAAUAUUAUACAAGUAAAAAUAAUACUCCAAUAAUUGACAUACUAGGUGAUGUCUUAAUACUAUUUUUUUAUAAAUAUUUCUACUACUUCUAGAAUAAUUUUGAUAGUUUAUGUAAUAAUUGACUCAAUUUAAAAAGUUUUUAAGACUAUGAUCAAUAAGAAUUUACCUAGAAUAUAAACAUUUGUGGUAUUAUGUAACGUAUAAUAAUUUAUAUAUAACUAUUUCAGUCCUAUGAAUUAUUACAAAAAAUAUAUAUUAUACUAUCGAUUGAAAUUUAAAAAAAUAUUGUACUAACAAUUGAAAAAGAGAAUUAACUAUCAAAUUUAUAAUUAACUAUUAGAAUAUAUAAAUGAUUACAUAAACAUAAGAUCUCUUUUUUUUAAAUUUAGUUUUAGGUCUCGCAUCCUAUUAAGUUGUCCCCGAUAUUCUGGGUGGGGUGACAUCUCAAUAUAUGUGGUAAAAUCCAUCAAUCACAUACUCAACCUUAGUAUUAUGUCUUCUCCCUUCCUAAAUCUUCCUGCUUUUUACAUCAGGCAUCAUCAUCAGAAUUGUGUUUUCUUUGUGACUUCUUAUUUUUAGCAUCACAGACAUCAUCAUACUCAGUAACAUGUCUUAUGUAACGACUCGAACCGUCGUUAAUUAGGAAAAGCAAAAAUUCGGGAUAAAAUGUUGGUUUGAUGGUAAAGUACCCAGCAGAAAUGGGCCACUAUCCCGUCAGGGCGGACCAGAUGCCGCUAGGGUGCCGGCGCCAGGGCGGGGUAAGUUGGCGCCAGAGUGGGAUAGGCGAGAAAAAAUGUAAAUAACACGAAAUCCUAUUUUCUCCUUUUUCCUAAAAUACCUAAAUUAGUCGUAAAACACCCUAGAAACUCUCAGAAAGCUGCUCUAAGUUUGGAAAUGAAGGAAAAGGAGAUUUCUAGUGUGAGAAUGGUGAUAUCUUGCGGAUUCUUGGCCAAAUUCACCAUCAUGUCGUUCGGAAAACCAGAAAAUUAUCUGUAAUUACUCCGUGCAGCUGCUUGGCGCCCAGUUAGGCUAGGUUUUAUUAAUUGAAUAGUUAUAAAUUUGUGUUCACCACGUAGCAUAUGUAAAUCAACGGUAGAAUUAUGCGUAUGCCCUUGUGCACCGAACAAAAUAUGGUUAAAUCCUAGGAAGAAGCCUUAGAGAAUGAUCUAGAGUUAGGUGAUGGUUGUGAGUCUAUGAUUGUGUGAUGUAUGUUUAUUCUUGUUUCAUUAUGAUACAUGUAUGUAUGUGAAUGUUGCAUUAUUGAUCACACUUGUUGUAAAGGAGAUAGAGGGACGAUGAAUGCCAUGAAUCAUGACUAAAUUGUGUGACCUUGAGAAUAUACUUGUGAUUGUGAUUGUGGUGUGUUGAAUAGAUCGGUUGCCACGUUCCGGCAUAAAUAUGAGAUUGGUUGCCAUGUUCUGACAUAACUAACAUGGAUCAGUUGCCACGUUUUGGCAUAACUAAUUUGGAUCGAUUGCCACGUUCCGGCAUAACUAACUUGGAUCGGUUGCCACGUUCCGAUAUAAAUAUGAGAUUGAUUGGCACGUUUCGGCAUAAAUCUUGGAUCGGGUACCACGUUCCGGUAUGCUAACAGUUUGGGUUUUGGGUUCCAUGAGAGGACCAAUGACUUGACAUAAUUGUGUACUUCGAGGAUUGUGAAAUUGAAUGUGGUUCGUAAUGAUAAAUGAUAUUGUAAUUCCCUGGAGUAGUCGUAUGGUAAUGAGGACUUUUAUCUUAUUGUUCUUUGUGUUGGAUGAACUUGUUGUGUAUGUGGUUGUUGGGUGAAUCGGGAGGCCAAGGGUUCAAGGGUCGUAAUAAUUGAAAGCAAGGGCAGUCCGUAUGUUACAAGGGUGAGAAGUAGAGGUAGUAUACGUGAUGUAAAUGCUUAAGUGGAUUUCACUUGGAAGAAAGGGAUUCGUAUUUAGUGGUUUGAAAGCUUGACGUAAUGUACUAUGUGACCAGGGCUGGGUAAUACGAAGAGAAAGUAAGGGUGUGACGUGAGCGGUUAGUUGGAACGCUUGUAGUUAUAUUUGGGGAUUUUUUGUGUGCUAGAAUAUAUGGUUAGUCUAUGACCAAGUACCUAGUAAGUAGGUUGACUGAAAAGAUUGUUAGUAGUUAGAGUACUAAUGUAAUUUGGAGGUAUUUCGAGAGAGAGUAAAGGUGGAGAAGCGAGUGGUUUUAUUUCAUGAUCUUACUAGUUGGUUUCUUAUGUUAUGUGGUGUGCGUCGAGUUCGUGUGGUUGUACUGAUACUACUCUUGCUAUGUCUUUUGACAUAGACUUGAUGCAGGUUGGUGAUAUUCCAUUAGGUGAAGACGAAAAAAUUCUCCAGCAGCUUCUAUCUUUCUUUCCGCAUGGUGGGAGCGAUGUCUUUUAAAUUAUUAUGUCCAGUUGUACUCUUAAUAGCUCUUGUAUUUGUUUAGACUAGAUUCUUGGGGGUGUUAGUUACUUUACAAGUUUAACUCUAAAUUGUUUAAAUUUUUAUUUAGAGAAAAUACAUAAUUACCCCAUCAAAUUUGUACCAUUUUUUGAAGUAGACGCCUAAAGUUUGCGGGGGGAGUCCUAUUACCCCAUCCAACCAUUUCCAAGAAUUUUAAAUACACUGUUUUUAUAAAAUUUGCAGUCUCAUAAUUUGUGCGUGUGUUUCACCCUCUUACUUGUUUAAUAGUAGGUCGGGUAAAACCCUGACCCACUUACAUUUUAACCCAUAAACCUUUUCAGAAAAAUUCAUGUUCAUCUUUUCCAAUUUCUUUUCCCAAUUCUUUCGAUUUACUUUACUUCAAAAGAUUUAUUUUUUUUGGAUGUUUAUUUAGUGUUUGAUUUUAAUUUGUUUCCCCAAAAAUUAGUUUAAUCCUUUUUAACUUUGUGGGUAUUCCGAAAUCAGCCUAGCUUUGAGUUCUAUAAGUGAAUUUCACAUUUUUUUGAAUUUGUACAAGUAGAUUCUUUGAUACUUUUGUUCUUGGGAAACUAUAUGAACGGAAAUGGGUUCAAAUUUCUUUGUUGAAAGGUAAAUUAUGUGCUAAAUUGACCAAGUAUUUUGUCGUUGUUAAAUAGAUUUUUCUAAUAAAAGACCUUAAGAUGGAUUGCUAGAACUUGAUGAUAGAGUAUACAGUAAAGCAAUUCGCUUCGCGUAGUAAAAAACCAACUUUUGUUGUUGAGAAAAGCUCUCAACAAUCAUUAAUGGUGGUUUUGGGAAGAAGAAACGUGGGUCUCUUUUCACUUUGGUUUAACAAUGCCAUGUGUUAGCUUUUCAUUGGUUUGUGGCUGCAAUUUUACCCUUUCACGCGCUUCUCUAGUGUGAAAUCACAAUUACCUUGAAAAUGAGUCAAAAUGAUGUAUUUAUUGUGGAUUUAAAUGAUUUCGUGGGGUAAUAGGACCUCCGCAAACUUAAGGUGUCUUAUUCAAAAAAGGGUUUAAGUUUGAUGGGGUAAUUAUGUAUUUUCUCUUUUAUUUAUGAAAACUCGAUGAUUUCGUUUAUCUCCGUUUUUCGUUAAUUUUUCCACAUGUUUUAACUUUUGCGAUAUGAUGUUUCUCCUACUUAGACGUUAGAGUGGGUGUCCGCACGGCCCAGUGGGUUGGGUCGUGACAUAUUCUAACUUCAUGAAUUUUCCUACUUUUUACAUCACGAUCACUACCAUCAGAAUCGUCAUCAGAAUCAUGUCUUCUACCUCUCUGUGACUUCUUGUUUUUACCGUCACGACCAUCAUCAUUGUCAUCAGACUUAUGUCUUUAACCUCUUUGUAAGGUCUUGUUUUUAGCAUCACGACCAUCAUCAUAUUUAUUCUCAGCAACAUGUCUUUUCUCUUUCUGAAUCAUCUUGUUUAAGCCAUCACAGUCAUUGCCAUGGUCAUCCUCAUCAGAAUCAUGUCUUCUACCUCUUUGUGAGGUCUUGUUUUUAGCAUCACGACCAUCAUCAUAUUUAUCCUCAGCAACAUGUCUUUUAUCUUUCUGAAUCAUCUUGUUCAUGACAUCACGAUCAUUGUUAUGGUCAUCCUCAUCAGAAUUUGUGAGGUCUUCUUUUUAGCAUCACGACCAUCAUCAUAUUUAUCCUCAGCAACAUGUCUUUUCUCUUUCUGAAUCAUCUUGUUUUUGACAUCACGGUCAUUGUCGUGGUCAUCCUCAAUAAAAUCAUGUCUUCUACCCUGUUGAAGCUUAAUGAUUUUUGCAUCACGGCCAUCAUUAUCACCCACAAAAUGUCUCAUAUGCAAUUUCACGUGUUUCUUCUCAUGAUCAGACUCUGAAUAAGAGUCAGAAUCAGAAUCAGAGGAUGAAUCGUCACUGUGAUGCCGCCUUCUAACCUUCUUGAACUUGAAAGACAACUUUCUUGACUUUUUACCACCAACAGUAUCAGAAUCAGAACUAGCAUGAGCCUUCUUACAGGUUUUCUUAGACUCUUUGGCAUGGAUUUCACUGCUGUCAGUGUUAGACGAAUCGUCACGUCCUCUCCUCUUCUCUUUUUUCUUAUGACGCUUACCCUCGUCCUUUUCUUUUGCCAAGUCAUUAACUUCAGGGGCGUAUCUAGAGGGGGUGUUGUGGGUUCACGUGAACCCAUGCUCCCCUCUCUAGAUCAUAUAUAAUAGUGUUAUAUUUUUUAUAAAAUAUUUAAAUAUAGAUGUGUGAACCCACGUUCAAAGUAUUGUAUUAUACGAUGAUGAUUGGGUGCACCCCUCUAAGUGAGGAUAGAAAUUUAAAUCUUAUAUCUAUCUUGUCUUUUACUAACACCUCUCUCUCUAAGUGGUUAUUGGUUACACUUUUGGCGUUUCAACUAAUUAUUCUUUUGUUUUUUUCCAUUAAUCUUUCAAAAUUUUCAAGUGUGUUACAUUGAAAAUUCCUAAAAAAAUUAGCACUGUAAAAUUUUUAUAUCAUUAAAUCAAAUGUGUAUAUUAAAAUUUAAAACUAGUAGCAUUAUAUGUUUUGGACCUAUAAUUUUUAAAAUUUAAUGGUUCAUAUUAAAAACUUAAAAGUCAAACCGAUCAAAUUUAUAUUUAAGAUACAUUUUUUUUGUAAUUGUGCACCCAUCUUGUGGAAAUCUUGGAUACGCCUCUGAUUAACUUCACCCUCUUCAAAAUGAGCUAAAGCAUCAUGCUGCUUCUUCGGAGUGUCGUGUUCAGCCCCUAUCUUGAGAGCAACUUUUAAGUUUUCCAUUUGAUUUUCUUUCAAAGCAGCGAUCUGGUGUGUUUGUGUUUCCAAAACCCUGGAAUGAACAAGUUUAGUUAUUGCAUAUCAACCUCACGGUAUCUAUAAAAAUACUGAAAAAAUGAUCAAAAUAGUCCCUAAUGUAUGAGGGUUGCAUUAUUUUGAUCCUUAAUAUAUUCAACAUGAUUCAUAUGGUCCUUAAUGUAUUAUAAAAGAUACUCAAUUUGGUCAUUUGCCCUAAAAGUAACAAAUCCAUCAGUUAACUUUAACGUCAGGCCCACUAAAAAAUAAAAUACCAAAAGCUCCCUUUCUCCUUCAUCAGGCAUAGCUGAAAGGGAUAAUUGUACAAAAUGACAAACUUAUAAUCUAAAAUAAAUGGAGUAGCUACUGUUUGAUUUAAUUGCGCCCUGUAGCAAACGUUUGCCAGUCGCCUCUCUCCCUCCAAAUUCUCGCUCGCCACUCUCCCUUUCUCGCUCGCUCCCCCUGUGCUCGCCUCUCUCGCUUUAUACAACAGAAUUGUAUAAAUUGCGUUUUUGUUUGUAUAAAGCGAGAUAAAAUUGUAUAUACACAUGAAAAUACAUAUAUAUUCGUCCUAUACACUUAUAAUUAUACAAUAAAAAUAUUCCCCUGCCUAGUUCUCUUUUGCCUUUCUCUCUUUCUCGUUUUAUACAAACACAGAUUAUACAAUAUAAUGUAAAAUUUAUGUUUGUAUAAUGUAUAAUUUAUGUUUGUAUUAAAGCGAAAGAAAAUUGUUAUAUACACAUGCAAAUACAUAUAUAUUCGUCUUAUACACUUAUACUUAUACAAUACAAAUAUUCCUCUGCCCAGAUCUCUUUUGCCUUUCUCUCUUUCACGUUUUAUACAAACACAGAUUAUACAAAUAUAAUGUAUAAUUUAUGUUUGUAUAAGAGAAAGAGAGCGAUUUUUUAUAUAUAAAUAUUUUUGUCAACGAUUUAUACAAACGAGAGGCUAACAACAAUUUAUACAAAUGGCCUGCCAGCGAAAUUAUACAAAUCUGAAGAGGAGCCAACGAAUUAUACAAUUGCUUCUUUUUGUAUAUAUGUAUAGCGAAAUAGACAUAACUUUCAAUUUGUAUAUGUAUAAGCGAAUUAUACAUAUAUUAUGUUUGUUAUGGAGCGCAAUUAUGCAAACUUUGCUAUAGCAUACAAAUAUGAUUUUUUUGUUUGCUAUAUGUGAAAGUUGCUCCAGCUGAAAAGCUUGGCCUAAUUGUUCUCCCUUCUCCGGUGAUUAUAAUGUUCUAGGCCAUCGACACACCACCGGUCGUCCACCAGUCAGCCGUUGCUCUCCACUUUAGUCCCUCCGCCACCCAUCCUCUAUUCCCACGGUUUAUUAGCCCUAAUCCAAAAUUAGGAUUUCUAAAAAAAUUAUAUGUAUAAUUAAGUUAGAAAAUUAGUUUUUUUUUUACAUUGUUAUUGAUAUUAUAAGAUUUGAUCCUAUAUUUAGAAUUGUUAAUGUCUCUAGUGAGAGCCAAUUGUAUAUGUGUUGUCGUCAUAAUUUUUUUUAACAGACCGUGUCCCUGUGUUUGUGGCAACAUUUUUCAGCUUUAAAAUUUGUCAUAAGGGGUUGAUGAAGCAAAUUUCUAUUUCCUUAUCAAUUCUGCUGGCUCCAAAUAUAAUACAUCUAAACACGAAUGAUAACAGAGUCAAAUCUAGAAAUUCAUUAGCUAGUUUCAACUAGAUUUUUUAUUGGGUAAGACUUACCCGUAUUGGGUGUUUACAUCAAGUCAAUACAUGCAUGUCAUGUGUUUAAAUUUAUUGUACAUUUUACUUAAUCAUAAUUAAUUAACAUAUGUUUUAUUUCAUUAAAUCAUGUAAUAAUGGAAAUUGCAUUAGUUUGGUGUAUACACCUGGUGCGGGUAAGUUUUUUGCAUUUUUAUUGGUGAUUGGAAUAAUGUUGGAUAAAAUAACAUUAAAAAUGUUGGUGUAAUAUACCACAAAUAUAAUAAAUUACAGUUGAAAUAAAAUGAACAAAAAUGAAUAUAUUAAUCUUCAGGCUGAGGCACGGAUAUCUCGCUCUGUUUAAGGAUAUCCAAGCCCACUGUGGCAUAAUCUACACCGAUCCAGCAGUAUCACUCUUGACUUGUCCCCUCCAGGAUACAACAGUCCAACAACGUCGUACAACUCAAACAAAUCCAGAUUAGUUGAAGAGUCCAAAGCUCCACAAAAAAACACUUUCCUUCAACAUAUAAUAUUCUCUUUUGUAUAGUGAAUAUAGUGGAAGACUUAAAAUUUUCUUUGUUUCAACUCUCUCUUUCACUACACGAACCUCAAUAUAAACUUCUUAUCUUUUCUUACAUUAUUUCACUUCUACUUGGAUCCUUCACAAAGGAAGAAACACCACUAUUUAUAGGUGAAGCAGUCUUUCAUAUAAUCAAUGGGUAGAAUGAGGGGUAGUAAUGUGGGUAGAUGUUACAUGAGUUACAAGAAACUAAUGGUCAUAUGAGUUACAAGGAACUAAUGGUCAUAUGAGUUACAAGGAACUAAUGGUCAUAUGAGUUACAAGGAACUAAUGGUCAUAUGAGUUACAAGGAACUAAUGGUCAUAUGAGUUACAAGGAACUAAUGGUCAUAUGAGUUACAAGGAACUAAUGGUCAUAUGAGUUACAAGGAACUAAUGGUCAUAUGAGUUACAAGGAACUAAUGGUCAUAUGAGUUACAAGGAACUAAUGGUCAUAUGAGUUACAAGGAACUAAUGGUCAUAUGAGUUACAAGGAACUAAUGGUCAUAUGAGUUACAAGGAACUAAUGGUCAUAUGAGUUACAAGGAACUAAUGGUCAUAUGAGUUACAAGGAACUAAUGGUCAUAUGAGUUACAAGGAACUAAUGGUCAUAUGAGUUACAAGGAACUAAUGGUCAUAUGAGUUACAAGGAACUAAUGGUCAUAUGAGUUACAAGGAACUAAUGGUCAUAUGAGUUACAAGGAACUAAUGGUCAUAUGAGUUACAAGGAACUAAUGGUCAUAUGAGUUACAAGGAACUAAUGGUCAUAUGAGUUACAAGGAACUAAUGGUCAUAUGAGUUACAAGGAACUAAUGGUCAUAUGAGUUACAAGGAACUAAUGGUCAUAUGAGUUACAAGGAACUAAUGGUCAUAUGAGUUACAAGGAACUAAUGGUCAUAUGAGUUACAAGGAACUAAUGGUCAUAUGAGUUACAAGGAACUAAUGGUCAUAUGAGUUACAAGGAACUAAUGGUCAUAUGAGUUACAAGGAACUAAUGGUCAUAUGAGUUACAAGGAACUAAUGGUCAUAUGAGUUACAAGAAACUAAUGGUCAUAUGAGUUACAAGGAACUAAUGGUCAUAUGAGUUACAAGAAACUAAUGGUUAUAUGAGUUACAAGACACUAACGACCAUGAGAGUUACAAGAAGUAAUGGUCAUAUAAGUUACAACAACUAAUAGUCAUUUAUACUCACUAACAUAUGCACUUAGUAUUUUAUUUUAAUAAUAAAAUACAUAUACACCAACAAAAAAAAUAUCCCAAUAAUAUGAGUCAAUUAUAUAUACACAUUUUGAUAUCAAAUAUCUAAACCUUUAUACUAAAAAAUUCUACACAAAAAAAAUAGCUUGAUAAGAUUUCUAUUUAGAUAAAUAUUUUUAAAAUAUGUGCAUACAUUAUGAAGUAUAUCUAUAAUUACAUACCCAGUUUAUUUCUUUUUUUAUGACCCAUUAGAUUAAAAACAGAAUGUAUGAAACAAAUAGUUUUUGUUUUUUAUAAUUAAAUAUAUGAGUAUAGCUGUAUAAGUUAUUUAUAUUUUUUUAAUUAGAAUAUUUUAUUUUAGAAAAUUUCUUAUUUUUACUUGAGUGUGCUUCUUUACUAUUGCGCUUCAAAGUUUUAUAUUUACUUGAUAAAAAAAAAAAAAAGUCUUAUGGUUACUUAGACAUUACAAUAUUUUUCUUAACGUAUAUACAAGGUUAUUUCUUGAAUAGUUUUUGAUAUUCUCCAAAAAUCAUGAUAUGGAAUUAUAUGGUGAUUCCAUAUCAUGAUUUGAGAUAUUUUAAUACAAAAAUUGAUUCACGAGUUUAUAUUUUGUUAAAACAACCCCACAUUUGUAUCUACUAAUCAUUUAUUUCAUAAGUAAAUAAAAUUUAUAAUCACAUCAUUACUUUUAAAAUUUAUUUAUUCUCACUGACAUAAAAUUUAUUAUUCUCACCAACAUAUAGUCACUUUAACUCACACCAAUCGAUUGUUAAAGUGAAGAAAUAUUUAUGGUCUAUGAGCAUGAAAAUAUAGUUGCGGAUGAUAUUGACCAACAAAUGGCUCAAAGUAACAAUGUUGGUUCGUCUUCUCGGUCACAUGAUCGAGAAAUGAAAGUUCAACGUGAGAAAAUUUUCCGUACUAUGUGGGAGGAUUAUAUUAAAGACUAGUACACUACAAUUUAUGUUCAAUUUUUUUUUUAUUAAAUUAAAGUUAAAUGAAACAAUUACUUAAGUGGAGAACAAAUAGCUUUGUAAUAAUUUAUUAUGCGAUUUUAUAAUUUUUGUUUAUUUGAUAAGAUUGAAUAAACAAUUGGGGCUAUUUUAAUAGUUUUACAACUUAUGGAAUUUUUAUGUUUAUGAGAAAAAUAUACAACACAAAAAUUUCCAUAUCGCAUGUCCAAACAAAACUUCAAAUUUCAUCUCAUGAUUCCAUAUCAUGAUAUCAUAUCAUGAUUUCAUAUCAUGAUACCAUAUCGCAUGGCCAAACGGGCCCAUAACAUCACCAUUAUAGUGUCCACCACUGUGGAUGCAACAAGAAAUUUACAAAAAUACUCUUCCAUUUCAUCAGAAUUACCAUUUCUAACCUUAACAUUCCAUUUUUUAGAAAAUUCAUCAAAUUUAGCAAAUUCAACAUUCCUAUUGUAAAAAAGGGUGAUAUUAAAUGAGUAACAUAGUCAUCCAAGUAUUGAAUGAAUAGCUUUUUUUGGUAUAUAAGUAGGUGAAGAAGAAGGAAAAGGAAUAUAAGGAAGUUGACAAAAUUGUUUAGGUAAAUGAAGAUGAACUCUAUCAUAAGAAUAUUUUUUCCACGUAGGAGAGUAACAAUCUUCUUUUUGAAGAAUGAGAUUUGGUAUACAUAAUUUAUUUAUUCAAAGUCUUUAUAGUUUGACUCUGAAAAAGGAAGUUAUGACAAUUAAAAGUGGACAGAGUCAGGGGCGGAGCAACUGUAGAGGAAGGGGAUUUGGCCGAACCCACUGACUUUUUCGUAGACUCUAUAUUUAUAUUAAAAUAUGAAGUACAAUGUAUAUAUAUAUAUAUAUAUAUAUAUAUAUAUAUUUCCUGCAAACUCAUAAACACACUGAAGCAUUUAGUCCAGUGAUAGUUGAGCACCCAUCGAGAUCAUUCACACCCCAGUGGUCCAGGGGUUCGAAUCUCGGUAGUCACACAAAUUUGGGUUUAUAUAAAAAAAUAAUUAAAAAACAAAAAAUUGUUAAAUGAAAAAUAAAUAGUAUUUGUAUCGUACUCUGAAACUACAAUAUCUGACUAUUGAUUUCUAUUCAUAUUCAAAAAGUUUAACUCAAUUUUUUUUCUCCAAAAGUUAUGAUUCUAACUUUUAUUGUUGAUCUAAUUGUUGCUAUCCAACAUCUGGCCUCCGGUGUAUACUCUUGUCUCUCCCUUUUCAUUUUUUUCCUUAUUUGGUUCCUUAUUUGUUUUUAGUGAAUUGAAUACUUGUAUUUGUUCGUUAAUUUGAUGAUUGUUACUUUAGGUUAAGAUCGGUAUUCUUUUUAAAAAUUUAGAACCAACUGACAUGAAAUCAUGUCUCCACUUCUGCAUAAACUGUGUCUUUUUAUCAUUAUCUAAGGAUGAAUUUAAACGAUACAAUAUAAGAGCACAAGAACAAAUCUAACUAUUUUUUCUUUUGGCUUAUACAUUUUGACAUAUAUAACAACUUUUUUUAUUUUGGUUUUAAGACCAAAUGAGCUUGUGGUCAUUAAUUAACUGCGUAGAUGGUUAAGCUUGAGGAAGUCAACAAAAUUGAGAGAGUUGUACUUUCACCUCACCUAGGCAUUAAGUACGAGCUGUAUACUUUUCAAUCAUUUUUGUGCACUAGGUAAACCCAAACCUGUAAUAACCUGCUGCAAAUCACAUUGAAGAUAUAAAUCGUACUAGGUAAUUUUUAUGCGAUAAUUUUUCAAUGUUAAUAUAUACAAUAUUUAAAUAAUUACAUAUUUAUUGUUCAUAUUAAUUGAAAUUUUUAGUUUGUACUCAAUCUUUUACUAAUCAUUAUGUAAUAUUUUUAAAAUUUUUAUUAUUUGUUAAAAUACAACUGAUGUAAUUAUAAUUAAAAGUUGUAGGUAAUUAUAUUUAUAGCUAAUUUCUACUCCUUAAUUUGUUUAAUUCAUUUCAAUUUGAAUUAAUCACGUUUUAAUAUUGACUUUCUCAGAUUUUUAUCAAUUUUUUUAGGUGUCUUCUUAGACAUUUCAAGCCCAACCCAAUUAUAUUAUCGAAUAAUUAAAUUUAAAAAGACAUUGUCUAACUUUGAAUGUCUUAUAAAGCGUAACAAUCACUACAAUAUUGAUGAGUUAGACCUAUUUUUAUAAUUAAAGGUAAUACGAAAUAUUAUACAAAAUAAAAAUUAUACUCCAAUUGACAUACUAGGUGAUGUCUUAAUGCUAUUUUUUAUAAAUAUUUCUACUACUUCUAGAUAAACAUUUGUGGUAUUGUGUAACGUAUAAUAAUUUAUAUAUAACUAUUUCAGUCCUAUGAAUUAUUACAAAAAAAUUUAUUAUACUAUCAAUUGAAAAAGAGAAUUAGUUAUCAAAUUUAUAAUUAACUAUUAGAAUAUAUAAAUGAUUACAUAAACAUAAGAUCUCUUUUUAAAAAAAUAUUUGACUUUAGGUCUCGCAUCCUAUUAAGCUAUCGCAAUUCUGGCUGGGUGACAUAUCAAUAUAUGUGAUAAAUUUCAAUCUUGUAUCUAUAAAUUACACAAAAACAACUUUUUGGGAUUCAUGUUGUUGACCGUCCGAACUCCGAAAUUACUUUAUUGUAAAUUUAAUUUAACUUAAUUUAAUUUAAAUUAAAGUAAAGAUGAAUUAAUAUUAAUAAUCAUCACAAAAAUAUUCAGAAAAAUUUAAGGGAUAAAUUAUUAAAUUGAAUUACAUAUUAUAAUAGUUAGUAAUAAUUUUUUUACCAAUUUUAAAGAUUUAAAAAUUAAUACUAAAUUGACUAAUUUUCAAAUGAAGUUUAAACAUGAGUCGAUACUCAAAAUUCAACUCUAAGAUUACUACUAAUCUUAAAUUCUCUCACUCACAUUACAUUGCAUAAAAAAAAUUAAAUGUCAUAAUUUAAUUUAACUAACCAACAUUCACAUCCCUUCAUGUCUAAGACUCUAAAAACUCUCACUCAGCAAAAGCAAUAAAUAAUUAUUUAGAGAGCAGAGAGUUGAUAUGUGUGGCUAUGUUUUGGGCAUCAAAUGCAAUCCCAUAAAGUCCUCUUCUUGAUAACCCCACACAAUAGAGUCCAUUCUUCCCCUUCCAAUGUUGUGGAAAUUCUGGCUUUGGUAAUCCAUCUUCAUUCAGCAGAUAAUCAUCUCCCUACACAAUAAACACAUAUAGAAUGCAAAAAAUAAAAUAAAAUUUAGAAUCAUCUGAACUUAUUAUCUUUUUCUUCAAAAACAAAAUUAGAAAACAGAAGAAAAUCACACAACAAAGAAGACAAUUUAAUAUUAUUAUUAGAAUAAAAAAGAAAAGUUUACUUACCUGAAGCCACUUGUGAAUAGUUCUCUUGAAUCCAGUAGAAAAAACAAUACCAUCAAAUUGAUGAAUUUUACCAUUUUCCAACACAACAUCAUUUCCUCUUAUGCCUUUCAUUACAGGUAACACCUGUCACCAUCAUUUUAUUUAAUCACAUGAUUCAGAUACGGUUCGAAUUCCGCGAAUCAAACAGUUUAUGUUACCUGAAUUUCACCGGACUUGAUCUUUUGAUAAGUCCCCACAUCAAAAACAGGGUACUUCCCAUACUUUAUUUUACAAGCAAAUGGUCCUUCUUCUGGCCUUUUCACACCAUAAUAUUUGCUUAUAUCUCCGUACAUCAACUUACUUAACAUCACCAUUAUAGUAUCCACCACUGUAUAUGCAACUUUGUACUUCAACAACAUCAACCCCAAAUAUCCCAUUUCUCUUGAUAUCAAGUGCAUCUGUAACAUACAGACACACGAUUAGAAAUUUGGGAUUUUAAGUUUUAGGACAGAAGAAUGAUAUAACAAAAAUAAAAUAAAAAUAUUAUCAUUAAAUAUUUAUCAAAUAAGAAUGAGUACCCUAUAAGAAAUCAUCUGGAUUACGUAAGAUAAAUUUUAUCCAAUGUCGUACUUUCAAUCUUUCUGCUUCUGGCAUUACCAGUAAUAACAUUUAACCUUCCAUUUUUUAGUAAAUUUAUCAAAUUUAGCAAAUUCAACUUUUCUUUUGUAAAAAGGGGUGAUAUUAAAAUGAGUAACAUAGUUAUCCAAGUAUUGAAUGAAUAGUUUUUUUGGUAUAUAAGUAGGUGAAGAAGAAGGAAAAGGAAUAUAAGGAAGUUGACAAAAUUGUUUAGCUAAAUGAAGAUGAACUCUAUCAUAAGAAUAUUUUUUCCACAUAGGAGAGUAGCAAUCUUCUUUUUCAAGAAUGAGAUUUGGUAUACAUAAUUUAUUUAGACAUGCAGAUGUAGCAAGACCACCAGGCCCAGCACCAACAAUGAUAACCAUAGCUUCUUCAUGAUUAUCAAAUGUUGUCAUGACUAAAAUUGAGAAGAAAAUUUGAUGGUGUUGAG
rnacentral:lncRNA from 1 species